AACAAACGCUGGCGGCGUGCCUAAUACAUGCAAGUCGAACGGGGUAGCAAUACCUAGUGGCGCACGGGUGAGUAACGCGUGGAUAAUCUGCCUUAGAGUGGGGGAUAACUAGUCGAAAGAUUAGCUAAUACCGCAUAAGACCACAAGAACUGCGGUUCAAGGGGUCAAAGGUUUUUCGCUCUAAGAUGAGUCCGCGUAAGAUUAGCUAGUUGGUGAGGUAAUGGCUCACCAAGGCGACGAUCUUUAACUGGUCUGAGAGGAUGCUCAGUCACAAUGGAACUGAGACACGGUACAGACUCCUACGGGAGGCAGCAGUAGGGAAUAUUGCACAAUGGAGGAAACUCUGAUGCAGCGACGCCGCGUGAGUGAUGAAGGCCUUCGGGUCGUAAAGCUCUGUCGCAGGGGAAUAACACAAUGAAUGUACCCUGUAAGAAAGGAUCGGCUAACUUCGUGCCAGCAGCCGCCGUAAAAC
rnacentral:rRNA from 1 species